GAUGAACGCUGGCGGCGUGCCUAAUACAUGCAAGUCGAGCGAACAGAUGAGGAGCUUGCUCCUCUGACGUUAGCGGCGGACGGGUGAGUAACACGUGGAUAACCUACCUAUAAGACUGGGAUAACUUCGGGAAACCGGAGCUAAUACCGGAUAAUAUAUUGAACCGCAUGGUUCAAUAGUGAAAGACGGUUUUGCUGUCACUUAUAGAUGGAUCCGCGCCGCAUUAGCUAGUUGGUAAGGUAACGGCUUACCAAGGCAACGAUGCGUAGCCGACCUGAGAGGGUGAUCGGCCACACUGGAACUGAGCCACGGUCCAGACUCCUACGGGAGGCAGCAGUAGGGAAUCUUCCGCAAUGGGCGAAAGCCUGACGGAGCAACGCCGCGUGAGUGAUGAAGGUCUUCGGAUCGUAAAACUCUGUUAUUAGGGAAGAACAAAUGUGUAAGUAACUAUGCACGUCUUGACGGUACCUAAUCAGAAAGCCACGGCUAACUACGU
rnacentral:rRNA from 1 species